rnacentral:rRNA from 1 species
AUUGAACGCUGGCGGCAGGCCUAACACAUGCAAGUCGAACGAGUGGCGGACGGGCGAGUAAUGUCUGGGAAACUGCCUGAUGGAGGGGGAUAACUACGGGAAACGGUAGCUAAUACCGCAUACCAUCGGAUGUGCACAGAUGGGAUUAGCUAGUCGGUGGGGUAACGGCCCACCUAGGCGACGCUCCCUAGCUGGUCUGAGAGGAUGACCAGCCACACUGGAACUGAGACACGGUCCAGACUACUACGGGAGGCAGCAGUGGGGAAUAUUGCACAAUGGGCGCAAGCCUGAUGUAGCCAUGCCGCGUGUAUGAAGAAGGCCUUCGGAUUGUAAAGCACUUUAAGUUGGGAGGCGUUACCAACAGAAUAAGCACCGGCUAACUUCGUGCCAGCAGCCGCGGUAAUUC